GUGGAUUAGAUACCCUGCUAGUCCACGCCGUAAACGAUGGAUACUAGGUGUGGGGGGACUGACCCCCUCCGUGCCGCAGUUAACACAAUAAGUAUCCCACCUGGGGAGUACGAUCGCAAGGUUGAAACUCAAAGGAAUUGACGGGGGCCCGCACAAGCGGUGGAGUAUGUGGUUUAAUUCGAAGCAACGCGAAGAACCUUACCAGGGCUUGACAUCCUACUAACGAAGCAGAGAUGCAUUAGGUGCCCUUCGGGGAAAGUAGAGACAGGUGGUGCACGGCCGUCGUCAACU
rnacentral:rRNA from 1 species